UACGAAGGGGGCUAGCGUUGUUCGGAAUUAUUGGGCGUAAAGAGCUUGUAGGCGGUCUGUCGCGUCGGUCGUGAAAACUUGGGGCUUAACUCUGAGCUUGCGGUCGAUACGGGCAUGACUGGAGUUCGGCAGGGGAGACUGGAAUUCCUGGUGUAGCGGUGAAAUGCGCAGAUAUCAGGAGGAACACCGGUGGCGAAGGCGGGUCUCUGGGCCGAUACUGACGCUGAGGAGCGAAAGCGUGGGGAGCGAACAGG
rnacentral:rRNA from 1 species